CCUACGGGCGGCUGCAGUGGGGAAUAUUGCGCAAUGGGGGAAACCCUGACGCAGCGACGCCGCGUGAGCGAUGAAGGCUUUCGGGUUGUAAAGCUCUGUUCUAAGGGACGAAUGUCUCUGUUGUGAAUAAUGGCAGAGAGUGACGGUACCUUAGGAGAAAGCCCCGGCUAACUACGUGCCAGCAGCCGCGGUAAUACGUAGGGGGCGAGCGUUGUCCGGAAUUACUGGGCGUAAAGGGCGUGUAGGCGGGUGCUUAAGUCAGGUGUGAAAGACCGGGGCUCAACUCCGGGAUUGCACUUGAAACUGGGUAUCUUGAGGGCAGGAGAGGAAAGCGGAAUUCCUGGUGUAGCGGUGAAAUGCGUAGAUAUCAGGAGGAACACCGGUGGCGAAGGCGGCUUUCUGGACUGACCCUGACGCUGAGACGCGAAAGCGUGGGGAGCAAACAGGAUUAGAUACCCCUGUAGUC
rnacentral:rRNA from 2 species